AUGAGAAUACAAAUGCAGGGCACAACGUCUGGCACAGCUUUGAGAUUCAGGCCAUCUUCUCUGGAGUGAAGAGAUGUUCUGCAAAUUUUGGCCGAAUGAGGGUGUGAAUGACUGAACACGGGACCCACCUUUCACUCUCAUUUCGGUGAGAUGGCCUACAAAGUUCCCAGCACGGAGCCGGAGGGUGUGGGGUGCACAGGUGCCUUAACUGGCUCUCAGGGAUGAAUUGGUUUGAAACAACACUAUCGCCUAGGCCACACCUGGCCAGCAGAGCUAGACUUCCUGAUCCGGGCAAAUGCCAACACAAGAGGCCCCAGCAGGCCCAGUGCCAAGGAACUGCCCACUGAUCUCCAGAAAGGUGCAAUGGCUGUGGCCCUGCCUGUCCACUCUCUGUCCUGCCAGCUCAGUGGCUAUCCACGCUGCCCUGGCCUCCUGGGCCCACAGUCUGGGGAAGAAAAAGGAGAAAAAAUCGGGUUCGACCAGAUGACCAAGCUGUUCUUUUAAUCAGUGCUUAUGGAGCCCUAGGGCUGGGGUCAAGAGUUGUGGCCGCAAAGCAGGCCAGGGUGGCUUGUGGUUAAAAGCACAGGCCCUGAAUGUUGGUUCAAAUACUGGCCUGGUGUGUACCAGCUGCUGUGACUGUGGGCCAGGCCAUCUCCCUACCCGAGUCUUAGAUUCCUCACUCACAAAAUGUAAACAAUAAACUACCGUAUGUUAAUCUACAGAUAAUUACUGGUUUGGGGAAAGUGUUUGCCUUUGUAGAACAUAACAAGCAAAAUAAUGACAAUGAAUAUGUAUAUGUCUACAUCUAUAGAUCUCUCUCUAUAUCAUAUGUAGAUAGACAGACACAGAUAUAUAUCACCAUAAUAAGUUUCCAAUUGCCCUCCCUUAAGAAGGACUGGCCUUUAUUCUGAAAUGAUCUUUCUUCUAUUUUUAUUAUCUUGUGGUUGAAAGGGCUAAGGCCCAUUAUUCUUCCAUCCGCUCUGCCUGGAAUCCUUAGCCCACCCACCUGUCUGCCCACAAGACUCCCUCCCUCACCAGCUUCGGAACUUCGCUCAAAUGUCACCUUCUCAAGGGCACCUUCCCUGACCCUUAUUUAAAAUCACAGCCCACCCAUGCUGUGCCCUGUCCCCUUCCCUGACCCGUUUCUCCUCCAUGAUCAUUCACAGCUAUAUCCCAGGACCUGAAAUAGUGCCUGGCACAUAGUCGGCCCUCAAUAAAUAUUUAUCAGAUGAAUAAACAAUUGAAUGAGUAUUUGUUUUUUAAUGUGUUCCUUGGGCCAGAUUAAAAGUGAACAACUCAUUCACUUUUUAGCUCCCAAAAUUGGGCAUUGGAAAGGAGAAGAUUUUACUGGUCUGCAAAACCCUUAAAUCACUAAGUAAAUGUAUAUUAAAGUUCUGGCGAAACUCAGUAAAUGGUAAUAACGAUUCCCCUAAUGCUCCUGUGCGCCUCCCCCAUCUCCUCCUUGUUCCUCCCUCCCUCCUCCCUGGGCCUUAUCUAUCCACACCAGGGCUGUCCCCAGUGUGCAGAACUCACUGGAACCUUCUGGCCUCUCAAUUUGCCUAAUUCAUUUAUUUUCUUUAAAGAUCCUGAUUACAGGCCUGGCUUGGGAGAACCAACCAGGCUGUACACAGGCCCGUAACGGAGGCAGGCCUGCCCGGGAGACCGAGGAACCUGUAUUGGCAAAGGCUGUUCAAGCUUUGACUGCGCAGAUGCGCUCAGGUCACAGAGGAAAUCAAUGAAAGGUGUUUGUUAGCUUGAUUAUGUCUCAAUUCUAGGCCUGCUGUUUAGGGAGUCCAGGGGCUCCAUUCUAAGGAUAACCAUGGCCCUGGAGGUGCUGGCACCAGGCAGGAAGGCUUGGGGAAGUUUCUGGAUGACCCCCACUGGUCUGAAGAAGCGUUAGGACCCUGGGCCAGAGCCAGAAGGAAGCUCAGAGACGAAAUAGACUGACUCUGUGGUUGUGCAGCUGGGGCAGGAAUGAAGUGCAGAGACUUCUGGGCCUGACUCAGGAUCUUACUUGGGAAGAAGAAAAUCAGGAACCUGAUGUUUUUUCCCCCGACUCCCUGCCCAGCAUCCUCCUGUCAGGACAAGAGGGAUUUCAGCCCUGGGCCCUGCAGGUCAGAGGACCCCUAUCGGGCCCUCUUCUUGGAGGGGUCUUGGGGGACAAGGGCUUGUGCCCAGCAGGAGCCCAUGCAUGUCCCCUCCAGGUGAUACCUGAGGUUCCCGGGGCUCUGGGAUUCCUGGCUAAAUGUCCCAGCCAGGGGUGGGGGUCCUGUGUGGGCUACUAGCCGGGAAGCCCCUUCCAGGGCAAGGAAACUUGGAGGAUGGGAAGGCAGCUGCCGCAGGCCCGUGUGAAACUGCGACCUUAGGCCUAAUUCCAGGUCAGGAAGCCCUGUCACGUUAGGCAAUAAAACAUAUUUUAGUUAACAGUUUAUCAGCUUGAUUGAUAACUUUUGAAACAUGUAGACUGUGGUUUGUGACCCGAUCUGGGGUGAUGCCCUGCCACCCCGAGUAGCCUCCUGCAGGGCCUGUGGGCGGGGCGAGGCCCCCAGGCUUCUCGGAGGAGGGAGUUGGGAGAAGGGCGUGAGCGUGGUGCGCCCCCA
rnacentral:lncRNA from 1 species